UCUUGUAUUUUAAUAUUAUGUCCAUAUUAUAAAUGUUACAUAAAAUGUUUCAAAUUAUUCUCGCCGUUUGUAAUUUACGUGAUAAUUUUGUGAUCCCCUGUUUCGAGAGGUAAUACUACUCAUAAAUCAUUUUCGCUCACCGUGAAAACAUUGAACAUUUUAAGGAGGCGAUAGACAUGUACCCAAUUGUAGUGGUUAAUGGACCCCUUCGCGCCAAUAGUUGCAAUUGCAAAAUUGACUUAUAAAAUAAUUGAAGGAGUUAUAAAAGGUUUGAUUAAUGGACUCUUAUUAGUUGCGUGCUACUUCGUGCUUGGAGCCAGUGCGCUAAUACUUGGAAUUUUGUUUUUAAGAAGGAGGAAACGGCAUCCUUGUUCCCCACGCUCCGCAACAUGGUCUGGACCAGAGCCAGACGCGAGAGGUCGCCGUCGCCGAACACGUUACUGAGGACACGGCGGUACUCAGCCCAUGCAGGGCACACUGCCACCGUAUGCUCCACCGUGUCCUCCGGGUGAUCUUUGCAGUGAUGACACCUGGGAGUUUCCUCCCAUCCAAAAAGAAACAGGUUCGGAAAUUGUGGCCGUGAAAAUUGUUUGCCAGAGUCUACUGCCACCUAUUGUAUUACAGCGGUUGGGAUUACAAUAUUUGCGUAUGCUGCUUACGUCAUGUUUUCCCUAUGGUUCUGAAUUUAUUAUGUAUCUUAUUUGCCACUGUUCUAAUGCCAUUAAACUAAGAUUCACUUGUAAAAGUAUUUUGUUUGUACUUAGAUGGUUUUAAGAAGCAAACUUAUUUAAUUAGCACAAGACUCAGUAGUCACGUGAUUCUCAUAUUAUGAGGAGAAGCAAGAUAAUGAAAAAUAAAGGUUUAUUAUA